GAGCGUCAGCGUGAAAAGGCACCUUAAUGCGUAGUGUUUUCCCGCUCAAGCGGCUGAAGUAAAGUUUCUCUCGUUACUGAAGAUUGAGAUAUCUAUCAAGAUGAGUCUGUAACAGCCUAACAUUUACAGACUUAUAUCGUUUCUAGGUCAGUGAUACUUUGUCUCGGGAGGGACAGCAAUUCAUUUGGGCCAAGAAGAAGAAGAUUAAGAUAUCGAGCCUCGCUACGUUUCGGCGACGUCGCAGCUAAUCUGUUCUCGGAAGCCGCGGUUGUCACGGUGACCCAUUGCUUUCAAUCCUCUGUGUUUUUCCGAGUCGCGUCGACGUGAUUGACAGAGUGAUCGAUUUACGAUUGCGAUUCUCGGAAGUCGCGUUCGGCUGGUUCGGCAUACCUACCUACUGUUUGAUUUUGAGUGUCGACGCUUGUCCGGUGUUUUUUUCCUUCGCCACAAAAGCACGACUCUCGAGCGUCGCCCGGCGCGUGUCGAGGCGUCAGGACUUUUUUCUCUUCCUCGAGAUGCCAAUAGCCAAUUCUCAAAGUGAUCAAUCAGGCAGGAGAAAAUUGGAAUGUGAUAGCAACAGAGCAAAGGAAUCUUCGUAGUUGACUCUGGGUCGAGAACAAAAAAAAAUGGAGUGGGUGCUGCGACCGGUAAGUAAAUUUAUUUGAUACUUGCGUAAUUAAUUGAUUGAUUACCACGAUUGAUCACGGCUUUGAUAAACGCCGUAAUUAUAAAAAAACUGUUUCUUAUAAAUUGUUUCUUAUUGCUGCCAUUUACAUAUAUCGUUUAUCAACUAAAUUUGAUUUAAAUUUAAUAAAUAAAAUAUGAAA